rnacentral:misc_RNA from 1 species
ACCAACAACAACGAGUUUCCUCUGGAGAGAACGAGGCGGAGAUGGAAGAAACCCAGCUUCUAUGGAAGAAAUCACCUCCUCUUCUUCUCCUUCUUCCUCUUCAUAUUCUUCUUCUCCUCGUUUCCCGUUUCUAUGAAACGGUACAAUCUCCUCGUGUAGCCUCAUGCCUCUCUAAACUCUGAGAAAUUCACCAAAUGGUUUCC